rnacentral:rRNA from 2 species
AGAGUUUGAUCAUGGCUCAGAUUGAACGCUGGCGGCAGGCCUAACACAUGCAAGUCGAGCGGUAGCACAGAGAGCUUGCUCUCGGGUGACGAGCGGCGGACGGGUGAGUAAUGUCUGGGAAACUGCCUGAUGGAGGGGGAUAACUACUGGAAACGGUAGCUAAUACCGCAUAACGUCGCAAGACCAAAGAGGGGGACCUUCGGGCCUCUUGCCAUCAGAUGUGCCCAGAUGGGAUUAGCUAGUAGGUGGGGUAACGGCUCACCUAGGCGACGAUCCCUAGCUGGUCUGAGAGGAUGACCAGCCACACUGGAACUGAGACACGGUCCAGACUCCUACGGGAGGCAGCAGUGGGGAAUAUUGCACAAUGGGCGCAAGCCUGAUGCAGCCAUGCCGCGUGUAUGAAGAAGGCCUUCGGGUUGUAAAGUACUUUCAGCGGGGAGGAAGGCGAUAAGGUUAAUAACCUUGUCGAUUGACGUUACCCGCAGAAGAAGCACCGGCUAACUCCGUGCCAGCAGCCGCGGUAAUACGGAGGGUGCAAGCGUUAAUCGGAAUUACUGGGCGUAAAGCGCACGCAGGCGGUCUGUCAAGUCGGAUGUGAAAUCCCCGGGCUCAACCUGGGAACUGCAUUCGAAACUGGCAGGCUAGAGUCUUGUAGAGGGGGGUAGAAUUCCAGGUGUAGCGGUGAAAUGCGUAGAGAUCUGGAGGAAUACCGGUGGCGAAGGCGGCCCCCUGGACAAAGACUGACGCUCAGGUGCGAAAGCGUGGGGAGCAAACAGGAUUAGAUACCCUGGUAGUCCACGCCGUAAACGAUGUCGACUUGGAGGUUGUGCCCUUGAGGCGUGGCUUCCGGAGCUAACGCGUUAAGUCGACCGCCUGGGGAGUACGGCCGCAAGGUUAAAACUCAAAUGAAUUGACGGGGGCCCGCACAAGCGGUGGAGCAUGUGGUUUAAUUCGAUGCAACGCGAAGAACCUUACCUACUCUUGACAUCCAGAGAACUUUCCAGAGAUGGAUUGGUGCCUUCGGGAACUCUGAGACAGGUGCUGCAUGGCUGUCGUCAGCUCGUGUUGUGAAAUGUUGGGUUAAGUCCCGCAACGAGCGCAACCCUUAUCCUUUGUUGCCAGCGGUUCGGCCGGGAACUCAAAGGAGACUGCCAGUGAUAAACUGGAGGAAGGUGGGGAUGACGUCAAGUCAUCAUGGCCCUUACGAGUAGGGCUACACACGUGCUACAAUGGCGCAUACAAAGAGAAGCGACCUCGCGAGAGCAAGCGGACCUCAUAAAGUGCGUCGUAGUCCGGAUUGGAGUCUGCAACUCGACUCCAUGAAGUCGGAAUCGCUAGUAAUCGUAGAUCAGAAUGCUACGGUGAAUACGUUCCCGGGCCUUGUACACACCGCCCGUCACACCAUGGGAGUGGGUUGCAAAAGAAGUAGGUAGCUUAACCUUCGGGAGGGCGCUUACCACUUUGUGAUUCAUGACUGGGGUGAAGUCGUAACAAGGUAACCGUAGGGGAACCUGCGGUUGGAUCACCU